UAAUCAGUAGGCUUUGGCCUCCACUGUAAGGAUCCGGUUAAGUCCAACCAUUAACAUGAUCAUACUUGGUGUAUCUAACCAACGAAUGAUUAAGCUCAACUUUGGUUGGCUCACCUAACCACCAUUAGAGAGACACUUCUAAGUCUUCAUAUGAUGAGUGAUAAUUCCAUUAGUCAACAAGCACCAGGCCUUUGGGUCUGCAAUGAUUAUUGAGUUAAUGGACUCAUUAUCAAACACCUUAAUGGGAGGCUAUGACUCAGUUAUCUCUAUAACAUUGUCAUUUUAAGGACCUAAUAAUUUUAAAAGAUUUAAAUGAUUUAGAAGAUGAGGUCAGAUGAACCAACUUAUCAUGAUCCUCCCACUGGCUUCACCAAGUCAGCUUAAGGGAGACCAUUAAAAGAGCUGGUCUAGGAGCACCUAAAUCAGUCACACUGAUUUACCUAGCUGACAUGGGUCAGUUCGAAUAGUCAAGUGAUCUGAUCAAAACAUAAUUUCACCAAGAGGCCAGGUAAGUUCGAUCAGUGGGAGGGUCUACCAAAGCUUGCCUUAGACACCAUCAGAAAUGGCCAGAUAAGUAGGCUCCCAAUUAAAAACCACCGGUCUGGUUUACCUUAGACACCAACUGGUUUAAUUAGUUUCGAUUAGAUCAACCUAAUAGUUCGUGCUAG
rnacentral:lncRNA from 1 species